GAUGAACGCUGGCGGCGUGCCUAAUACAUGCAAGUCGAGCGAACGGACGAGAAGCUUGCUUCUCUGAUGUUAGCGGCGGACGGGUGAGUAACACGUGGAUAACCUACCUAUAAGACUGGGAUAAUUUCGGGAAACCGUAGCUAAUACCGGAUAAUAUCUUGAACCGCAUGGUUCAAAAGUGAAAGACGGUCUUGCUGUCACUUAUAGAUGGAUCCGCGCUGCAUUAGCUAGUUGGUAAGGUAACGGCUUACCAAGGCAACGAUGCAUAGCCGACCUGAGAGAGUGAUCGGCCACACGGGAGCUGAGACACGGUCCAGGCGCCUACGGGAGGCAGCAGUAGGCAAUCUUCCGCAAUGGGCGAAAGCCUGACGCAGCAACGCCACGUGAGUGAUGAAGGUCUUCGGGUCGUGAAGCUCUGUUAUUAGGGAAGAACAUAUGUGUAAGUAACUGUGCACAUCUUGACGGUACCUAAUCAGAAAGCCACGGCUAACUACGUG
rnacentral:rRNA from 1 species